rnacentral:misc_RNA from 1 species
GGCCAAGUUGGAGGUAACCGUUUCGUUUUUUUCUUCGCUUUACUUUUGGUUACUGGGUUACUGAUGUUUCGAUCAUGAAAGGAUUUCUGUGCAGUGAAUUUAAGGGUUAGAGAUUUGAUUAUGUGAAAUUCUUUGCAUGGCACCGUACAAAGAGUGUUUCUUUUGAGUUUCAAUUCAAUCUCAAUAGACUGACUUUUUUCCUGGCAGUCGGAUAGCUUGAAUAGAUUGGAAAAUUAUGUGACUUCGCAAUCGUUACUACCAACUUGCGAAUUCAAAGUUCUGUCACAUUGGUGUAUAAACUCGUAUCUGAUUUGGAUAUCUAAAAUUGUUUAGUUUCAACUCGUGAUUUAAGAAAUAAAGCCCUUUUGAUUAAUUUUAGUAAUAGUCUAUGUUUCAGUUUGUAUUCA